rnacentral:misc_RNA from 1 species
GAUGAAGAACGUAGCGAAAUGCGAUAAGUAAUGUGAAUUGCAGAAUUCAGUGAAUCAUCGAAUCUUUGAACGCACAUUGCGCCCGCCAGUAUUCUGGCGGGCAUGCCUGUUCGAGCGUCAUUUCAACCCUCAGGGCCCUUUUGGACCUGGCGUUGGGGCUCGGCCGCUACCCUGCGGCCGUCCCCGAAAGAUAGUGGCGGUCUCGCUGUAGCCUCCUCUGCGUAGUAGUUACAUCUCGCACUGGAACGCGGCGCGGCCAUGCCGUUAAACACCCCACUUCUCAAGGUUGACCUCGGAUCAGGUAGGAAUACCCGCUGAACUUAAGCAUAUCAAUAAUCGGAGGA